rnacentral:lncRNA from 1 species
ACAGCAGCUGCCCCUGCAAAUGUCAGCGCCAGCCCAGUCAAAAGAGCUUGAAACCUACCAAGCCGGAGGACUGUGCUGUGCCUCUCUCGCCCACAUUUUCCCCAAGCACUCUCAGGAACCUGGCAACAGUGUCCCCUUGUGGCCAAGCCUGGAACAUCACAUCUGUACGUUGCAAUCUGUGGAUCAGCUACGAGACUGAGAGAAAGGAAUGAAAGGAUGGAAGAAUUACAAGAUCAGGCACUGCUGUCUGUCUGUUCCACGGAUGUAACCACAGCACACGCGUGGCUCACGGUACUAGUGUGAUAAAUGCUUGUUACAUGAAGGCGUGAACAGGGAUGAGAAGAGACUUCCUGGAGAAACAAAAGGACUAACAAUCAGGAAGGGGAGGUGAUCGGGGCAGGAGUAAAGUGGACACCUCAGCAAAGCCAUUCGCUGUGAUCUCUGAUUGUGCAGUGUCAUGUCCUGUCACCAGAGCCCCCUCGUGUUUGAUGUUGGCCAAUGCCGCCAGCAUGAUCUAGCAGGCCAAAUCCUAAUCUACCAUUCUCUGACACCAGCUGGUCCCCUGGGUCGUCCACCCGAUGUCCCCCAUUCUCCCCACUUGGCCUCCCCCACAGGCUCUCGGCAAAGGACCGUGGGAGGCACCUGUGACACUGCCCUUUUCCUGUGCAGCUGUUUUUCUUCUUCAUUCUUUUCACUCCUCGUUACUCUUUUUUUUUUCACUCUCAGCCCACACAAAACUAGGAACUUUGUUAUUCUACUUAUUUUUCUGUACUCUGUCUGUUUGCACACAGAUGGAUAUCUGAGAGCCAGCGAACUUUCUUUACCUCCUAGUAUCAUUUCAUGAAAAUUAGUAGCACCUGCACAAUGGGGCCUUGGAGACAGGAAUAAAAGGAAAAAUCUGGAAUGGAAUCACAUGACGCAACAGGCUAUGAAGACUCCCUGCCCGGCUGCUAUAUGUCUGGCUUGCUGGACUUUGGAGAAAAGGCUGACCCUCCCCCAAAGCAGCCCAUUGC